AGUGAAGCGGGAUGAGCUCAAAUUUGAAAUCUGGCUGGUUUUACUGGUCCGAGUUGUAGUUUAUAGAGGUGUUUUCGGUGGCAGCCUGGGUAUAAAUCCUUUGGAAUAGGGUAUCAUAGAGGGUGAGAAUCCCGUCUUUGACUUAGGUUAUGCUACUAUGUGAUACAUCUUCAAAGAGUCGAGUUGUUUGGGAAUGCAGCUCUAAAUGGGUGGUAAAUUUCAUCUAAAGCUAAAUACAGGCGAGAGACCGAUAGCGAACAAGUACCGUGAGGGAAAGAUGAAAAGAACUUUGAAAAGAGAGUUAAACAGUGCGUGAAAUUGUUGAAAGGGAAACGUUUGAAGCCAGCCGUGCGGGCGGAAAAUCAGCCUAGCUGUGGUGAGGAGCUAUGAGGGGUUCGGAGCGCAAGCCCGGCCUUUUGUGGCAUCCGUAUCACAAUGGGUGCACUUUUUCGUUUGCAGGUCAACAUCAGUUUGCUUCGCUGGAAAAGGCCUUGAGGGAAUGUGGCAGCUUUGGCUGUGUUAUAGCCCUGAGGAGAUACAGUGGAGUGGACUGAGGAGUCGCAGCGUGUGCUCUUGGGCAAGGUAGACUGGGUGCUGUGGGAUGGGGCGAGGUACAAUGCAUGCAUUUUGCUUCGUCUUUUCUGUCUUACACUCGCUCAUCUCUACUCUUCCACGCUUAGGAUGUUGACAUAAUGGAUUUAAACGACC
rnacentral:rRNA from 2 species